AGUGAACGCUGGCGGUAGGCCUAACACAUGCAAGUCGAACGGCAGCACAGUAAGAGCUUGCUCUUACGGGUGGCGAGUGGCGGACGGGUGAGGAAUACAUCGGAAUCUACUUUUUCGUGGGGGAUAACGUAGGGAAACUUACGCUAAUACCGCAUACGACCUACGGGUGAAAGCAGGGGAUCUUCGGACCUUGCGCGAUUGAAUGAGCCGAUGUCGGAUUAGCUAGUUGGCGGGGUAAAGGCCCACCAAGGCGACGAUCCGUAGCUGGUCGGAGAGGAUGAGAGGACACAGUGGGAGUGAGAUACGGCCCGAACUCCUACGGGAGGCAGCAGUAGCGAAUCUUCCAAGAUGGGCGAAAGCCUGAGGGAGCAACGCCGCGUGGGUGAAGAAGGUCUGCGGAGCGUAAAGCCCUGCUGGUAGAGAAGAAAGGGCGUGAGAGUAACUGUUCACGUCUCGACGGUAGCUAACCAGAAAGCCACGGCUAACUACGUG
rnacentral:rRNA from 1 species